UGAAACAAUAAUAAUUCAAAACCUAUGAUGAACUUAUAAUUAUAUUUCGAACAUAACAUUUGAAAUCCGAAGUUCUACUUCAUAGUCAUUAUGUGUGAUGAUUACCCCAGUAUAUCCCAUUAUGUUUGAAUUAAUUUUCAUCAUCAAGCUCUUGGUCUUGAUAUUUUUCAUAAACAUACCAUGUUGAUAACCAUUUUCUAUUCUCUUACAAUUUGUCAUUAAGUAUUUAGAAUUGUUUUUAUUUUAAUGAUUUGUAAGCUAUAAUGUGUGAUAAGAGAGGGGUACGAAGACACACAUGAUCUCCUGAUUAGGCACGGAUCGAUAAUUAUUGUUAAUUGUACUCCAAUAAACGUCAAUUAUACAUUCAUAAUCAUGUUCUUACGCGUGAUAUCAUAACUUUGAUGAGAAAUCAGGAUAUACAAAAACGCAGUGAGUAUUAGCAUAAAAAGUGAUAUAUCAUAGUCGAUAGGAAAAAGCAACUGAUUCAAUAAAACACCAGGAAUGACAAUCCAAAUAGCACACAGCAUAUAUAAUUAUAAACAUAAAGGAAUAUGUAUUUUUUCGUUUAUAAUGAUCGAAUUAAUGCUUACGAACAAACAAAUAAAACAAUGCUUUGGAAUGAUUUCAUAUUUAUCAAUUAUCACAACUCCUAAAAUUAACUAAUUAUUUCCUGAACACCUAAUCAGAUAGCCAACGAGCUGACCGCCUGACUGAAACUGGUGAGAAGACAAACUGGUAGAAACCAGAAACGCAACAGAAAAAAAUAUACAGGAAGAAACAGCGGCAUCUAAAUGGUGACGACAGCCAAACACCUUUAUCAUACCUUCUUAUAUAUGUCGAUUUGGAAAAACCCAUGAUGAGAUACCCAUUUUCAUCACAAUUAAACAAUAUCUCAGCCUCUACCCAAAGCAAACCCGAUCGAUACACUGUAUGUGAUGUGAAGCCACUAACCUGUGUCAGAGUGUCCAGCAGACGUUUGUUACGGUCACUCACAUAAGACAUCGGACCAUGAUACGCAGGGGACGCGCGGUCCUCCUAUUGUCUCUCCAUGCUAGUGCACUCAUUUACACACGUACACACAUAUACUAUAUAAUCACAGUCACACACAGCUGAACACGUACAAAUACUAAUACUUUUUUUUUUUAAAUUUAAUGUUAAUGUUUGAGAACGAUUACUUACCACCAAAAUAAUAUAUAUCUUAUUGAGAACUUGUCUGGGGGCUACAUGCUUUGUCUUCCUAUGCAAGAAUGCAUUGGAUCUGAUUGCAUAGGUCUCAUAUGGAUACGAUCAAAUUUUAUUUUGAAAUUGGAAAUUAUUUAGGUUUAACAGAAAGUCAUGCAGCUCUUAAACUUAUUGAAAACUUAUUGGUUCAUAUAGCAUGUGCACAUGUUCAGAGAUUUACACCUAUAUAUCCGUAAAUAUGGUAAAAAUAGUUUGCUACAUAUUAUUUAAGCCUUGUCAGCUUGUGCAAUCAGUGAGUAUUCGUCAUAACUUUGUCAUGUUAGCUUAGUUUUACAAACAUGGUAAUGAUAAGGCGCUAUACGUUAAAAGCGAGAGCUUGAUAACAAUAUAAACGAAAUUUAUUUCUAUAUAUAAAUGUGAAACAGAAGGUAACACGAAGCCAGACUAGUCGCAUAGGCCGCUAAUCCACAAACAGAGUCAGACGACGGCUCUGUCAGCCAGCAGGAAGCUGAACGUUCAACCGUACAGGUAUUUUGACGAGGUCAUAGACACAUUGUGCUCCCGGAAAACGGAUAUAUGAUUGGGACGUUUUAAGCCAAUCAGAAUGACUUCCUUGUACCGGCGGAGUAAGCUGGUCUCUGUGACUAUUUUUUAGGUAUAUGUUUGCAUGCCUCACCGUAUGUGCUAUCUCAGACUGACAUAUAUAAUCUAUGUAGUACAUUAAUCGGUCUUUCGUCACGUUGACGGUAAGAACAAAAAUCACACUUAUCAUCUGAUUUUUUAAAUUUACCUGUACAUAUGUAAUAUAUAUUUGUAUGCAUAUCGCUAGAUGACGUAAGUUGACAUGGCGCGCUCGCGCAUAUACAUUUAAAUAUAAAUACAACACACACUUACAGAGCACACAUACACAUAUCGACCAAUAUAUAGAUUGGCACAGUGUUAUAUAGAUCCGGCUUUUUAUAUCAUAGUCAUUCCUUAUUGCAAUUUGCAACAUAUAAAGUACUUGUAAACUACAAUUCACAGCAUACAUGAUAUAUUUACUUGUAUUUUUUUUUUUUCAGGAAUGACGACACUAUAUAUAAUUAGAUGUCAAAUCAUCAAUAGCGACAUUAAGGAAAGCAGUGAUCCGAUAGUGGAAUGUUAGAAUGAAAUGGUUGUAAUCAAUUAGUAUGUCCUUAGUAUGUUACCCUUGUUUACUGACAGACUGACGGUAUAUAGAGUGUAGAUAAUGAUAGGACGCGUAUAUAUAUAAUCAGUCCAGACUAUGUAGUAGACUAUAUUUAGAAACAGAUAAGGCAAGUAUGGUAUACAUCUCACAUAACUGUUCCCACAAAACUGUCCAACAAAACUGUUAACAUAAAUAACCUUACAACUACAUAUCCUUCUUAUCAAUCAUUUUCAUUUGACUCAUAACAUGAACUGAUUGGCCACAGUUUAGUUCUAGGUCUACAUGUGUAUACGAUAUAUUAGUUUCAGACUAACGGUUCUUUUUACGGUAAAUCAGUCUCCAACUAACGGGUUGGCGUCAGUAUCGAUGACAAAGGACCAGGUAGAACUGAAUACAGGAGUUAGAAGUACCUACAUUGUUUGUAGUCUACACCGCAGACCGGUGUGGAAUUUAUAAAUAUAAAUGAGAUUUAAAAAUAUACGUAAUCUUGUGUGUUAUAUAACGUUUUAUAAUCAGUAAUAAGCUAAAUUAGUGUAGUAAACAACAUGUCCCACCGUAAUAAUUCAGUGUAGUAAACAACAUGACCCACUGUAAUACGUUAUUGUAGUUAACAACAUGUCCCACCGUAAUAAGUCAGUGUAGUUAACAACAUGUCCCACCGUAAUAAUUCAGUGUAGUUAACAUCAUGUCCCACCGUAAUAAGUCAGUGUAGUUAACAUCAUGUCCCACGGUAAUAUGUCUGUGUAGUUAACAUCAUGUCCCUCUGUAAUACGUUAUUGUAGUUAACAUCAUGUCCCACCGUAAUAAGUCAGUGUAGUAAACAACAUGUGCCACCGUAAUAAGUCAGUGUAGUUAACAACAUGUCCCACCGUAAUAAUUCAGUGUAGUUAACAUCAUGUCCCACCGUAAUAAUUCAGUGUAGUUAACAUCAUGUCCCACCGUAAUAAGUCAGUGUAGUAAACAACAUGUCCCACCGUAAUAAGUCAGUGUAGUUAACAACAUGUCCCACCGUAAUAAUUCAGUGUAGUUAACAUCAUGUCCCACCGUAAUAAUUCAGUGUAGUAAACAACAUGUCCCACCGUAAUAAGUUAGUGUAGUAAACAACAUGACCCACUGUAAUACGUUAUUGUAGUUAACAACAUGUCCCACGGUAAUAUGUUAGUGAGGUAAACAACAUGUCCCACCGUAAUAAGUUAGUGUAGUAAACAACAUGUCCCACCGUAAUAAGUUAGUGUAGUAAACAACAUGUCCCACGGUAAUAUGUUAGUGAGGUAAACAACAUGUCCCACCGUAAUAAGUUAGUGUAGUAAACAACAUGUCCCACCGUAAUAAUUCAGUGUAGUUAACAACAUGUCCCACCGUAAUAAUUCAGUGAAGUUAACAUCAUGUCCCAUCGUAAUAAGUUAGUGUAGUAAACAUGAUGUCCCACCGUAAUAAGUCAGUGUAGUAAACAUCAUGUCCCACCGUAAUAAUUCAGUGUAGUUAACAACAUGUCCCACCGUAAUAAGUCAGUGUAGUUAACAUCAUGUCCCACCGUAAUAAUUCAGUGUGGUUAACAACAUGUCCCACCGUAAUAAUUCAGUGUAGGUAACAUCAUGUCCCACGGUAAUAUGUCUGUGUAGUUAACAUCAUGUCCCUCUGUAAUACGUUAUUGUAGUUAACAUUAUGUCCCAACGUAAUAAUUCAGUGUAGUUAACAUCAUGUCCCACCGUAAUAAGUCAGUGUGGUUAACAUCAUGUCCCACCGUAAUAAGUUAGUGUAGUAAACAUGAUGUCCCACCGUAAUAAGUCAGUGUAGUAAACAUCAUGUCCCACCGUAAUAAUUCAGUGUAGUUAACAACAUGUCCCACCGUAAUAAGUCAGUGUAGUUAACAUCAUGUCCCACCGUAAUAAUUCAGUGUGGUUAACAACAUGUCCCACCGUAAUAAUUCAGUGUAGUUAACAUCAUGUCCCACGGUAAUAAGUCUGUGUAGUUAACAUCAUGUCCCGCCGUAAUAAUUCAGUGUAGUUAACAUCAUGUCCCACCGUAAUAAUUCAGUGUAGUUAACAUCAUGUCCCACCGUAAUAAGUCAGUGUGGUUAACAACAUGUUCCAUCGUAAUAAGUCUGUGUAGUUAACAUCAUGUCCCACCGUAAUAAUUCAGUGUAGUUAACAUGAUGUCCCACCGUAAUAAUUCAGUGUAGUUAACAUCAUGUCCCACGGUAAUAAGUCUGUGCAUUUAACAUCAUGUCCCACCGUAAUACGUCAGUGUAGUUCAGUGUAGUUAACAUCAUGUCCCACAGUAAUACGUCAGUGUGGUUAACAACAUGUCCCACGGUAAUACGUUAGUGUGGUUAACAUCAUGUCCCUCCGUAAUAAGUCAGUGAAGUUAACAACAUGUCCCUUCGUAAUAAGUCUGUGUAGUUAACAUCAUGUCCCACCGUAAUAAUUCAGUGUAGUUAACAUCAUGUCCCAACGUAAUAAUUCAGUGUAGUUAACAUCAUGUCCCACCGUAAUAAGUCAGUGUAGUUAACAUCAUGUCCCACCGUAAUAAGUCUGUGUAGUUAACAUCAUGUCCCACCGUAAUAAGUCUGUGUAGUUAACAUCAUGUCCCACCGUAAUAAGUCAGUGUAGUUAACAUCAUGUCCCUCCGUAAUACGUUAGUGUAGUUAACAUCAUGUCCCAACGUAAUAAGUCAGUGUAGUAAACAACAUGUCCCACCGUAAUAAGACAGUGUAGUAAACAUCAUGUCCCAACGUAAUAAGUCAGUGUAGUAAACAUCAUGUCCCACUGUAAUAAGUCAGUGUAGUUAACAUCAUGUCCCAACGUAAUAAGUCAGUGUAGUAAACAACAUGUCCCACCGUAAUAAGACAGUGUAGUAAACAUCAUGUCCCACUGUAAUAAGUCAGUGUAGUUAACAUCAUGUCCCAACGUAAUAAGUCAGUGUAGUUAACAUCAUGUCCCACCGUAAUAAUUCAGUGUAGUUAACAUCAUGUCCCACCGUAAUAAUUCAGUGUAGUUAACAUCAUGUCCCACCGUAAUAAGUCAAUGUAGUUAACAUGAUGUCCCACGGUAAUAAGUCUGUGUAGUUAACAUCAUGUCCCUCUGUAAUACGUUAUUGUAGUUAACAGCAUGUCCCAUCGUAAUAAGUCAGUGUAGUUAACAUCAUGUCCCACCGUAAUAAUUCAGUGUAGUUAACAACAUGUCCCACGGUAAUAAGUCUGUGUAGUUAACAUCAUGUCCCACGGUAAUAAUUCAGUGUAGUUAACAUCAUGUCCCGCCGUAAUAAUUCAGUGUAGUUACCAUGUCCCACGGUAAUAAGUCAGUGUAGUUAACAUCAUGUCCCACCGUAAUAAUUCAGUGUAGUUAACAACAUGUCCCACGGUAAUAAGUCAAUGUAGUUAACAUGAUGUCCCACGGUAAUAAGUCUGUGUAGUUAACAUCAUGUCCCUCUGUAAUACGUUAGUGUAGUUAACAUCAUGUCCCACCGUAAUAAGACAGUGUAGUUAACAUCAUGUCCCACGGUAAUAAUUCAGUGUAGUUACCAUGUCCCACGGUAAUAAUUCAGUGUAGUUAACAUCAUGUCCCACCGUAAUAAUUCAGUGUGGUUAACAACAUGUCCCUCCGUAAUAAGUCAGUGUAGUUACCAUCAUGUCCCACGGUAAUAAGUCUGUGUAGUAAACAUCAUGUCCCACCGUAAUAAGUUAUUGUAGUUAACAACAUGUCCCUCUGUAAUACGUUAGUGUAGUUAACAUCAUGUCCCACCGUAAUAAUUCAGUGUAGUUAACAUCAUGUCCCACCGUAAUAAGUCAGUGUAGUAAACAACAUGUCCCACGGUAAUAAGUCUGUGUAGUAAACAUCAUGUCCCACCGUAAUAAGUCAGUGUGGUUUACAACAUGUCCCACCGUAAUAAGUCAGUUUAGUUAACAUCUUGUCCCACCGUAAUAAGUCAGUGUAGUUAGCAUCAUGUCCCACCGUAAUAAUUCAGUGUAGUUACCAUGUCCCACGGUAAUAAGUCUGUGUAGUUAACAUCAUGUCCCUCUGUAAUACGUUAGUGUAGUUAACAACAUGUCCCACCGUAAUAAUUCAGUGUAGUUAACAUCAUGUCCCACGGUAAUAAGUCUGUGUAGUUAACAUCAUGUCCCUCUGUAAUACGUUAGUGUAGUUAACAUCAUGUCCCAUCGUAAUAAUUCAGUGUAGUUAACAACAUGUCCCAUCGUAAUAAGUCUGUGUAGUUAACAUCAUGUCCCACCGUAAUAAGUUAGUGUGGUUAACAUAAUUUCCCUCCGUAAUAAUUCAGUGUAGUUAACAUCAUGUCCCACCGUGAUAAGUCUGUGUAGUUAACAACAGGUCCCACCGUAAUAAGUCUGUGUAGUUAACAACAUGUCCCACGGUAAUACGUUAGUGUAGUUAACAUCAUGUCCCAUCGUAAUAAUUCAGUGUAGUUAACAACAUGUCCCAUCGUAAUAAGUCUGUGUAGUUAACAUCAUGUCCCACCGUAAUAAGUUAGUGUGGUUAACAUAAUUUCCCUCCGUAAUAAUUCAGUGUAGUUAACAUCAUGUCCCACCGUGAUAAGUCUGUGUAGUUAACAACAGGUCCCACCGUGAUAAGUCUGUGUAGUUAACAUCAUGUCCCUCUGUAAUACGUUAUUGUAGUUAACAACAUGUCCCACCGUAAUAAGUCAGUGUGGUUAACAUCAUGUCCCACCGUAAUAAUUUGGUGUAAUUAACAACAUGUCCAAUUCUGCGUUUUAUCGCCUAUAUAUUUACGCGGAUUUUAAUGAAUGUUUUUUUUUACAAUGAUAUAGAAUUUGGAUUCGGGGAAUAUAUCACAGUUAAACAUUUUCGCAUUUAAAUAAAAAUUGCCUAGCUUUUUAUUUAUAAUACAUCAUGUUUAUUUGUUUAUUUUUUUGCAAAUUUCCGAAAUAUAUAAGUACUUUUACAUGCCCACGCCCUAAUUCCAGAUGCAUAGAGUAUUUUAAUAUGACCUUUUGACAUUUCCCCAUUCGAUCAGAGGAUCAGCCGCCCCACAUUAGCCGGUAGGCGUGUAAAGUUUAGCGGAUAUAUCGAAACCUUUAAUAAUUAAGGAAACAGAGGUAACAUUGCUAAGAUCAUUUAGAAUUACCAUUGCAAAAUUCAAAGAAUUGUACAAAGUUAUAUGGUGAACAAAAACAAGGAUAUCUGAAAACGUAACAGCAAAUGCUAUAUGAUGAAUUGUCUGAUACGAAAUCGUUAGCUGGUCAAUUUGACUAAUCAAUUUAACCGAUAUAUAUACUACUAUUAAUACUAUAACAUCGACUAUCAAUACAGCAAGGUUUACACACAUUUUACACGUACAAGUAAAUAGCUGGCACCAGUUCAACAAAGACGUGUACAUAGUUAAUGCCCUCUAUUCCGCUCUACAAUAGACAGACUGAUUGCAUACAGAUAAUACUAGGUAACACUGCAGGUCCCCAAGGACUCCACGCCUCAGUGUGGCUCAUUAUGUAACCUUAGAAAAAUAUCACUUAAUAUAAAUACCUGGCCAUUCUGAUUGAACUACUGGAUGUUGACUCAAAGACAAACAAAACUGGGAACUCGUUGAAUGAUUGCUUGGCUGCAAGGUGUCAAGAGGCAUAACGUACCUUUACAUAGGUGUGAUACGUGUCAAUGGUUAAGCUCGGGGAAUAUCUAGAAUCCGACUAACCUAGUAGAUAUUAUCAGAUAUCUGAUUUGUGUUUCUUUUGAUAGCUGGCCUGAAGUGUUCCAAGAACCCGAUAUUUAUUAAUCAUCCUUUAUCAUGUUUCACUGUAUACAUUAUCUAUAUAAUAUCCCCACAAACAGUUAAGUUUCAGCUCAUUUGUUAUUGACAUAUAUUAUUCUGUCAUGAUAUAUUGAUUUAAUAAACAUAAAUUUCUAAUUAAACAGAUUUGUAAGUGUAUAUGUAUGAUACUAAUGGUAUUUAUGAUUUAAAACAGGAAAAAUGAAAUGUUUUUGUUCCUUUGGCUAAAAAUUUUAAUCUAAAAACAAUUAAAGACUCUUUCAGACAAAAGCAAUGGUUUUAUCAAACAUAUGACGUGGUGAAUAGAUAAAACAAGGCAUAGUUAUACGAUUAAGUAGGACGGUGCGUUCGUUCUGAACGGGUUAUACCAAAAUGUACCAUUGUAUGGUCAUAACUUUGCAUUAAAUCAUCAAUUUGGAAAUGCUGCCCCAUUUCAUAAAGCUUACGUACUACAUAUAAUGCUAGAAUCGGCCUGAAGGUUAUUUCCCAACACUAUAUUUUGGAUCGCACCAGGGAAGACCCUCGUACAGCAGUAUCAAUGUUGAGAACCUCUUAUCCAACUCUGCAGCAAUCAUCUCCGUCAACAAACCCGGCAAUAACAUUACGGCAUAACAUGUUACAUUCAUAUGAAAUUGGGAAAAUAGAAACCCUACCUGGAAGGUGUAAUCCAUGCUGCCCUAUUCUUAUGCAGGUACAUUGUGAGGAUUAUAGACUGGGCGUCAUAUCUGCUGACAUGCACAGAGAAAACAGGGACCAUUGUUGUCAAUAAUGUGAUUACUUCCGCCGUAGCGUGAUGUAUGAAUACACAUUUCCGGGAAACACUUCCGCUAAGUACGUUAAUAUCCGGAAGCAGAAAAGGCGUCCCUCUGUGUCAGUAAUGAUACACACUGGCAGUCAAUACUCGGAAACAGACAUCUUGUGUAGGCAGGCUUCCUUACUCAUCUUACAACCACCAGUUCAUGAUGUAUUUCAUCGACUUAACAUAGUCUGUCUAUAAUACGUUUAUUAUGUAUACUUCAUAAAAGGAUGUAGGCAUGGCACCACACGUUGACCAACUUCCGCCCAAAGUUCAUUCAGAUUGUGUCGACUAUUGAUCAUGUUCUCCUUGUGGGUUGUAGAGUGUAGAGGAAGCUGGUGACACACAACACCAUACAAUAGAUUCGACUUGUUACAGGACACACACGAGAGUUAUGACAGCAUUCUUUAUAUAACUGUUGGUCAUCAAUGAACGUUGGAUAUGAUAAUCAUCGAAUUUACCAUUGUUAAGAGCAUUUUGUAUGAUUAGCUGCGUUAUGUUACGUCGGAGCACAACAUACCUAGACGAGCUUUGUGAUGCAACAAGAUGAUAUGUAAUAGAUAAGUAGACAACGCCGAAAUACAAACAAACCCUUGAUUGAAACUCAAAUGGACACCAUACAAAGGGAUAAUAAGACAGAGGCCUUCUGGAAUAAUAAGGAUAAUAAGACCAGGCGUUCCGGAAUAAUAAGUAUAAUAAAACCAGCUGUUCCGGGAUAAUUAGUCAAAUAAAACCAGGUGUUCCAGAUAGACGAGGUGUUCCGCAAUAAUAAGGAUAAUAAGACCAGGUGUUCCGCAAUGAUAAGGAUAAUAAGACCAGGUGUUCCGCAAUAAUAAGGAUAAGACCAGGCGUUUCGCAAUAAGAAGGAUAAUUAGACCAGGUGUUCCGCAAUAAUAAGAAUAAUAAGACCAGUUGUUCCGAGGUGUUUAUUGAAGGGUAAAUCCGAUCGACUUGCUCAAUUCAAUUUUGUUAUUCAAAGACAACACAUUGUCAAUAUGUCAUAGGUUAAAUUGAAGAACGCUGCACUAUUUACCAGAAAUAAGUCAUUAUCAUGAUUUCAGUAUUUUUAAGGAAAUACGUGUAGUUCAUGUUCGCCUUUUUUGUUUCGUUAUAGUGUCUGGGUAUACAUCUAUAUGGAUGUUUCACGUAAACAAAGAAUAUCGUGAUACAAACUUUCGUUGAAGGAAACAUUAUAGUGCAUCUUAAUUCUGUGUUGUAUUUAAUAAAUGUUUGUUUUCGCAUCUACUUUUUGUUUACAAACCAUCCCCUUGCUGAUAUUACCAUGUUUACAUUGUAUGGCAUAGGAAUGUGCUCAUUCCAAAGCUUACAUGUAACCAUUCAAUAUGUUACCUAUAACCGCCCAAUAUGUUACCUAUAACCGUCCAAUAUGUUACCUGUAACCGUCCAAUAUGUUACCUAUAACCGUCCAAUAUGUUACCUAUAACCGUCCCAUAUGUUACCUAUAACCGUCUAAUAUGUUACCUAUAACCGUCCAAUAUGUUACCUACAACCGUCCAAUAUGUUACCUAUAACCGUCCAAUACAUUACCUAUAACCGUCCAAUAUGUUACCUGUAACCGUCCAAUAUGUUACCUAUAACCGUCCAAUAUGUUACCUACAACCGUUCAAUAUGUUACCUAUAACCGUCCAAUAUGUUACCUAUAACCGUCCAAUAUGUUACCUAUAACCGUCCAAUAUGUUACCUGUAACCGUCCAAUAUGUUACCUAUAACCGUCCAAUAUGUUACCUAUAACCGUCCAAUAUGUUACCUGUAACCGUCCAAUAUGUUACCUAUAACCGUCCAAUAUGUUACCUAUAACCGUCCAAUAUGUUACCUACAACCGUCCAAUAUGUUACCUAUAACCGUCCAAUAUGUUACCUAUAACCGUCCAAUAUGUUACCUAUAACCGUCCAAUAUGUUACCUAUAACCGUCCAAUAUGUUACCUAUAACCGUCAAAUAUGUUACCUAUAACCGUCCAAUAUGGUACCUAUAACCGUCCAAUAUGUUACCUGUAACCGUCCAAUAUGUUACCUGUAACCGUCCAAUAUGUUACCUGUAGCUCUCCAAUAAGUGCAUUAAUUUGUGUACUUAUUGGACAGGUGAUGCCUAUGAAUUCUGGUGGAUAGUACUCAAAUAACAAUGGAUGGCAUCACGGCUGUGUUUUAAACAUAGAAAAUGGUUGUCUGUGGAAGCGUUUUUGUUAUGCUCUAAACCAUAACACAUGCGCUUACAUAUGUCCUUCACAACGCGAAGAAAGAGUAUCACAACCUGUAUUGCAUGUAAGCGUGACGUUUCGUUGACCGGACUUUGUCACCUUCAUCAGACAAAUAACACAAAACAAUACUCUAACUUCCAGUCUCAUGCCCCUUUAUACCUGGACGUUGCACAAACAUUUCCAUGGAUGUAUAUGACUAAAUAGUUACAGAACGAUAUGACAACUUACAAGAAUAGAAUCAUGUCGGUUCUGCUCUGAGCACAUGUACUGAUUGACUUUCAAGAGGGUAAGGUGACAACUGAAAAAACAAUAAUGAAAUGAGCAGUAUGAAAUAGCAGGAAGCCGAUAUGGCAUCGCAAUAGCCAUGAAGCCCUAUAAACCUCUUAGAAAAAGUCCUUAUGUUAAAACAACCGAUGAGGAAGUUGCGGAAUGUAUAUACAAAAUCAGAACUGUGACGCGUCAAGAAUCAGAGGGACACGACGUCCGUCUUUGAGAACACCAGAUAGAUGUAGAAACACAUAACGAUUUACAAGGGCGGGAUCAAUAGAUCGGCAAUCACAUACCACACAUCAAACUGAUAUCGUUAAUUAGAAAACAAAUCCAAAGUGAUUGUCAGAGAGAACAAUGCAGCAGAUGAAGGAAGUCAUCAGGAUACACCACAGCGGUUCAGUGCUUAAUCGGGACUCUCGCAUUAACGCAUUGCAGACAAAUCGAAACUGUUAACCAUUUAAGUAUACAUUUUAUUAUAGUGUAGACGAAAAGGACCUGUUGAUUUGAUCACAGUCUCGUACACCUACCACAUCAGUGGACACACGCUGAAAUGGUCAUUUGUCAGAUUAAGGUGACCGAGUGGAGUCACGUCACUUUAAAUCAAGCACUGGGAAAUACUAAAGUCCAUCCAUGUCAUUAUCAGCCUGAAGAACAUGUUUCGUGAAGGCUUAACCCAUUGUUAUCCCCCCUUUAUAACUGUUUCGUGACAUCUUAACCCAUUGUUAUCCCCCCUAUAUAACUGUUUCGUGACAUCUUAACCCAUUGUUAUCCCCCCUAUAUAACUGUUUCGUGACAUCUUAACCCAUUGUUAUCCCCCCUAUCUAACUGUUUCGUGACAUCUUAACCCAUUGUUAUUACCCCUAUAUAAUUGUUUCGUGACAUAUUAACCCAUUGUUAUUACCCCUAUAUAACUGUUUCGUGACAUCUUAGCCCAUUGUUAUUCCCCCUGUGUAUAUCACCUGUUGUUUCAAGUUUGCUUUGUUUACCGUCGUUUAUAUUGUUUCGUACGAUAGAAAUGCAUGCAUAAAUAAUCAAUGGAUUCAUACAAAAUGUAUAAAUAUAUUCCCGUUUGAUAUAACAUUUGUGUGAUAUCUAAUUUUUUGUACCUAAUAUAG